rnacentral:lncRNA from 1 species
GUGUGAUAAGUAUGGAAAAUUAUCAGAUGAUGGAGCGUUGCUUUUAACGCCCUUUUACUGGGUGUGUGCGCACGCGACAGAGAAAGGACUCGUGCGUCUCUCCGUGAUGAAGAGUCCUUCUAUUGUUUAAAUUCCUAUCCAAAUGGGGCAUCCCUUGCUGAUAGCCUUCCCAUUUGAAUCAAAGAAUACGUGGCAAAGUUUCAUGCUAAUCUAGAAUCAGAAGAGACACCAAUUGCCUCUCUUUCUGGGCAUGCACGCAUGAGAGGGAAGUACUCGACAUAUCACACCCCGACGAGUCCUGUUUAAAGACUCUCAGAUAAAUGAUACGAGGACCUGAUAUGCCUUUCCAGAUAAGUCGUGUCUUCUAUGUUGGCGCCCCAUCUGGUGCUAUAAAUAGGAGACGACAGAUGAAUUGAUCAUUCAAUUCUUACAUCCCUUAUCCACUCCCUCUCUUACAACUUUAGGAUUUAGGACAAAGAUUUGUUCUUUUAAGACAAGCCUAUUUCUAAUAGCUCUAAGGGUUUAAGAGGUCCAGAAGAAGGUGGUCAGGACCAGUGGAUGGUUCUGAGAGGUUCAAACUCAAGUUUGAACGAAGGUCUGAUCAACUGGUGGCUAGUCAAGUUCUAGGGGUUAGAACUCUUGAAGCAAGGUCAAGAAGGAGCGCUGUCUUUGGUCCGAUUUCCGUAUGGAUCAUCAUUAGAGGGCAGACACUUGGACACCUCGUGAAAAUUGGAAAUAGUGCUACAAAUAUUCUUCUUAUCCAAGUUUAAUUUAAUUGUACUUUGAUUGUUAUAGUCAAGGAUGUCUGGGCAUUAGGAUUUCCGAUGCGUUAGGUGUUUUGAAUAAAAUUUUAAAUACCUAGCCCUUCUGCUGCGCCACCGAAACCCAACAGUGGUAUCAGAGCAAACCUUGAUUUUUAUAAUCAAAGGUUAGAAUAUUGUCUUAAUUAUGAUCAAACUUGGAUUUUUGGUUUGGUUCAAGUCGGAUCAAUGGUUGAACCCAAUUGAACAUCCAAACCCUAGCAUGUCUUAGAGAUAUGUUUUAGAUACAUACAUGAUGUAUGUAUAGAAUUUUUUUUAGUAGCCUAGUACUCGAAUUGGGUUCAUCACCAAACCAUCCGGUCAUAAGAGCAAAUAAGGUUCAAAGACUUUCUCUUCCCAUUCUAUGGGGUACUCUUAUGGCAUGUAGGGGUGCCACUGUGAUGUCCCAAGAAGAUGAACUGUGAAAAGAAUGUUUUAUAUUGAUACAUGUUAUUAGUACUUCAUGCAUAUGAUAUAAUUGCUUUGUUAUAAUCAUGUUGUAUAAUUAUGAUUUCAUAUUUUAGAGAUAUAAUUAGAUGUCAUAAUUAGUUGUUAUGAUACAAUUGUAAUAGUGCAUCGUUAUGAUUGGCUGAUUUAGGAUGUGCAUGAGACCAUUAAAGCCCUCAUAAAAAUCAUAUUAAGUCGUAGUAUUGUGAACCAGUAGCAGACUUAUUUCUUGAAUCGACUAAUCAAUUGGUGUCUAAGGAGUGUUUCAAGUGUGGUAGUUCUUUAAUUGGUUCCGUUUGCUGGCCUGACCAAUUUAUUAGUGUCUAAGAAAAGCAACAAGGGAUCCCCGCCAAUCUUAACACUUUUCUGGCCAAUUGGAUUAGAUCAAAUUUUGAAUAAAAGUUGCUCCGUAUUUUUAACACUACAUAUGCCUUCCUUCAUGUCUAGUCAAUAUCCUGUCAAAGAUCAUAGUAGGUUUGUUGUGAUAUCCAUAAGGCUUGCUAUGAGAAUUGAUAUGAGAUUGUCUUGGUGCAUAUUAUAUGUUUUAUGCCAUAUUUGGAUAUAUUGCUUUGUUGUGAUAUUCACAAGAGCAGCAUUUUUCAGAUAUGACUGUAUGGAAAUGAAGGGUCUCACUUAACUAAAAAUACUAUAGUUUGUUGUGAUAUCCACAAGACUACGAGUGUUUUAGAGGCAAGGAUUAUGUUGAGAAUUGCAUGAGAUGCAAUUGGAUAGGUUUUCCUACCUUUGAACUCACUGAGAUUUGUUGUGAUAUCCACAAAGCUUCAUUGAGUGAUUAAGAUCUCAACCCCAUUAAGAAACUAGAUUAGGAUUUCUCGUUUACCAUAAGACAGGGCUCUGAUAUCCGAUAAAAUAGUGGGAGACAUAACUAGUUAAAAGACCUCAUCUAGUUAUGCAUGUCGAAUAUAAGUGGUCUACUUAUACUAUUGUUCUUUAUUAUGGCUUCCUUAUUUUCACUGCAUGAAAUAUGUUAACCGAUCCAAACUAUGAAGAUUGAUUGAGGAACUUGCAAAUUAGGUUCGUACCGAAGAAGAACUCCUAUGUUCUGGAUAUUCCUGAUCCUAGAUCGAUCAGUAAUAAUAAGAAGGCAAAAGAUGUCCACUUGGAUAUUAUUUGUUCAUUUUAUGGCAAAUUUGGACAUUGGGAGAAUAAUUGCAAGAAUUAUCUUGCAAGAUUGAAGCAAGGUGCAAGUAUAGUACCAAAAGGUGUGUAUAUGAUACAGACCUAUUUUUUAUUGAGUGGCUCAGACUCUGAUACUUGGGUAUUGGAUACCGCCUAUAGAUCGUAUAUUUGUAAUUCAUUACAGCGACUAAAGAAUAUCAAAGAUCUGAAAAGAGAUGAUCUUGAGCUUUAUGGCGCAAGUGGAAAAUCCAUUAGCACAAAAGCUAUGGAAACCUAUAUGCUUAAUUUGCCUUCGGACAAAACUUUAGAAUUGAAAGACUGUUAUUACAUGCCAAAGAUCAUUAGAAACAUUAUUUCUAUAUCUUUGUUAUUAAAAUAAGGUUAUGAAAUAAGGCUAAUGAGAAAUGGAUGCUUCAUUUACUUUUUUAAUGAAUUUUAUGGCAGUGGUAAUAUUGAUAACAAUCUUUUAAUUUUUGCACUCAAUGAAAAUAUUUUUCAUAUUGAUAGAAAUAUGAAAAGAAAGAGAGAAGAUGUGAAUAUCACAUAUCUCUAGUAUUGCCGUCUUGAUCAUAUUAGUGAGUCAAGGAUAAACAAAUUAUAUAAAAAAAAUUUUUGGAUCCGUAUGAUUAUAAAUCAUUAAGAGCUUGUGAAUCUUGUCUCAUGGGUAAGAUGAUCAAGACUUCAUUUUCUGGAUAUGGAGAGAGGGCAAAUAAGUUGUUAGCCCUAGUAUAUGCAGAUGUACGUGGACCGAUGACAGCUUAGACCAGAGGAGGAUACUCCUAUUUUAUAACCUUUACAGAUGAUCUAUCAAGGUUUGAAUAUGUGUAUCUUAUGAAACAUAAAUCCGAAGCCUUUGAUAAGUUCAAGGAGUAUCAAAAUAUGGUCGAGAAACAAACUAAAAAAAAUAUCAAGAUUCUUUAAUCUGAUCGAGGAACAAAAUACUUAUCCAGUGAAUUUUUUGAUCAUCUUAAAAGUGAAGGUAUUCUCUCUGAAUAGACCUCUCCUUAUACACCCCAGUUAAAUGGUGUAAUAGAAAGGAGAAAUCGCACUUUGAUGGAUAUGGUGCGGUCUAUGAUAUGCUUCACUGAUCUUCCAAUAUCUUUCUGGAGAUAUGCCCUAGAGACUGCCACAUAUAUUUUAAACAAAGUGCCUUCAAAGUUUGUUGCAAGCACACCAUAUGAGAUAUGGGAGGGAAGGAAGCGUAAUCUUAAACAUCUUAAGAUUUUGGACUGUCCUGCUUAUAUCAAAAAUAUUUUUAGACAUAAGCUUAGUACUAGAUCAAACAGGUGUAGGUUUGUAGGAUAUCCUAAGAAAACUAAUGGAUACUACUUCUACCACCCUACUGGCUACUUAUUAGUAGGCACGCUACUUUCUUGAAAAAUAAAUUCAUCUAAAAAAGAGGAAAUGGGAGGAAUAUUGAACUUACGGAAGUUCAAAAUCUACAAACCAAUCCAAAAAUACCUGUGGUCGAACCACAAGAAGAUCCUCAAUUAGAACUAUCCAAAGAUGAGGUACGUCAACAAUACACACCUCCUCUCCGAAGGUCAAAGUGCGUCAAGUAUCUCUNNNNNNNNNNNNNNNNNNNNUCCACUGACCUAUUCGAAAGCUGUCAUGAGUAAAUACUUAGACAGAUGGCUGGAAGUCAUGAAAUUCGAGAUAGACUCGAUGUAUACCAACCAAAUGUGGACCUUGAUUGAUGCGCCUGAGGGUGUGACCCCAAUAGGGUGCAAGUGGGUUUUCAAGAAGAAAAUCGGAGUAGAUGGCCAAGUAGAAACCUACAAAGCUAGGUUGGUGACGAAGGAUUUCAAACAAAAACAAGGAAUUGACUAUGACGAAACCUUCUCACCAGUGAUCAUGCUCAAGUCCAUCCGAAUUUUGCUUGCUGUAACAGUAUACUAUGACUAUGAAAACUGGCAGAUGGAUGUCAAGACCGCUUUCCUCAAUGAUAAUCUAAAGGAAGAGGUCUAUAUGACUCGGCCAAAGAAAUUUAUCUCAAAUGGGAGGGCAAAUCAAGUAUGCAAACUAAAAAAUCCAUCUAUGGAUUGAAGCAGGCUUCGAGGAGCUAGAACAUCCGAUUUGAUAUGACAGUCAAAGAAUUUAGCUAUAUCAAAAAUGAAGAUGAACUGUGUGUAUAAGAAGACAAGUGGGAGUACUGUUAUCUUCUUGAUUCUGUAUGUCGAUGACAUACUGCUCAUUGGAAAUGAUAUCCUAAUGAUGCAAUCGGUCAAGACUUGACUAUCGAAUAAAUUUUCUAUGAAAGACUGGGGUGAAGCAUCCUAUAUACUGGGUAUAAAGAUCUAUAGAGAUAGAUCUAACAGGAUGUUAGGCUUAUCCCAGUCACGGUACAUAGAUAUCAUAUUAAAGAGAUUUAAUAUGGAGACAAAUAAGAGAGAUUAUCUGCCUGCAAGUCAUGGUAUACGUCUCUCUAAGAAAAUGUGUCCUAAGACACCAGAGGAGAGGAAAAGAAUGAACGAAAUCCCUUAUGCUUCGACUGUGGGAUCAAUUAUGUAUGCCAUGCUAUGUAUCAGGCUUGAUGUAGCUUAUGCUUUAGGCGUAGCUAGCAGAUUUCAGACUAAUCCAGGAAAAGAUCAUUAAAAAGCUGUGAAAAAUAUUUUGAAGUACCUAAAAAGGACUAAAGAUGUUUUUUUUUCAUAUACCGAGGAGGAUCAGAGUUGAAACAAAGGGAUAUAUAGAUUUUAAUUUUCAAUUUGAUCCGGAUGAUAGCAAGUCAAUAUCAGGAUAUAUGUUUACCCUAAAUGGUGGGGCAGUGAGUUGGAAGAGUUCCAAACAUCAAACAGUGGCUGUCUCAACCACUGAGACAAAGUACAUCACUGCUAGUGAAGCCGCUAAGGAAGAUAUCUGGAUGAAGUUCAUCAUGGAAUUAGGAAUCAUUCCUGAGAUUGAAGGACCGGUACCACUCUAUUGUGAUAACACUGAGGCCGUUAUUUAAACUAAGGAACCUAGAUCUCAUCAAAAAUUCAAGCACAUCCUCAGAUGCUUCCAACUCGUUCGAAAAAUUGUAGAGGGACAAGAUGUUGUCCUUGAACGAAUUGACACAAAGAACAUUAUAGCAGAUCUAUUCACUAAGGCCAUACCACAACAGCUAUUUGAUCGCCAUCUUGAUUGUAUGGGAUUGAAAGACAAAGGCAAUUGGCUUUAGUGCAAGUGGGAGAUUGAAAGAAGAGUGCCCUAAGAGCCAAUCGCAAGUGUGUUGUGAUGGAAUUUUUCUUUAUAAUUUUUCAACUCAUGUAAUGACAUUUAUUAUUUGAUAAUAAAAUGAGGCAUUGAUCCAUCAUUGUAGCUGCAUCUGAUUAUGUCUAAGAUUAUGAUGAACCACAAAGAUUAGGAUAAUAAUUUUAGGAGAUAUGAAUGGGUCAUGCUAGUGAGACCUAAAAUCUUAAAACCUUAAUCUUAAAUAUUCCUGAUCGUAAAAGCAUAGAGUCAGGGAUCAAUAUUUCGGAUAGAUUGGCACAUCCUAUGUAUGCUCGACGGAGACGGUGGCUGAUCUCAUUAGCCACUUAUGUGGGACACUAAUACAAGGAUGUGAAUGCCCAUUUGGAUAUGAGUUCACUGAAUUGACUCGAUGACAGAGAACAUCUUAUGGAAGCCUUACUUACAUGUCAAAGAUAAUUCUCUAAGUGGGAGUUGUGCAGGUGAUUCUUAAACCUGAGAUCACCAUGGAAUCUUGUGCACAUGAAUUCAUAUUUUGGUUCAUACCCAGGCAUGACAUUAAGAUAUGUACGGGAUAUUCUAGAUAUGAUAGAGUAUGUAUAAAGGUUAUAAGUAGGUCAACAUGGAAUCAAUCACUCCUAGUAAGAGAAAAUCACAUCUUGUGUAUUCUCAUCUCUAGAUGACUCAGAAAAAAUCUUUUGGCCAAAAGCAGGAAAGAGAUUAGAAAGUUUCUAAUGCUUCAUCAUUGGAGUCAUCAUUAGUUAAUUGAGAAUUAAUAUGAAUAUAUGUUUGAGUUUGACAUAAUUUCAUACACAUGAACAUAUUCAGGAUGUAGGGAUGAUCGAAGGAUUGAAUUACACAGUAACUUGCCACUGAAGGGUAUAUUUGAUAUUUUCAUCAAAUUCCACAUCUUCUGGAUAGUCAUGAUAUAUUGCUAGACGUCAAUCUUGACUUAUAGGUUUGAUCAAAUUAAAGAGUUUAAUUCGAUCGCUAAUUAGAAGGGAUUCUAAUUAUCGAACUCGGAUUAGCUCGAUUGGACCUAAAUCGAUUAGAUUGAAAUCUAAUCAAAUUCGAUCAACUUGCAUCCGGACUAUUGCUGGCUAGAUAUAAAAUCCAAUAGAUCAUGCACAUAUAAAUAUUGGCCAAAGACACUUUUGAUAAGGUUGAUUGGAGUUUUGGAUCCAAUCAGAGUUUUCGAUAAGCAUGCUAGCACAUGUGAAAAUCCUAGCUCCUUGGGAGAUCAAUUUGGUCUCAUACUUUGCUAAUUUGCUAACCCAAUUUGGUGAGCAAUUGGAUUAGGUCGUGCCACUUGGAGGCAGCCUAAAAAGAGGCGCCACAUUUCAUGUUAACGCCAAAAAUCAAGAGUCCCUUUCGUUAAGGACUCUUGGUGCAAUUUUAAGAAGAGCGCACAUGCUUUAUGGUUUUGGCAUGCAGAAGGACCAAGAGUCCUACUUUGGGUCUCUGACUCAUAAGGCAUUAGAUCAGAACCUUAACCACCUUGCAUGCCUUUUAUAGUAUGAAAAAUCCUUUGGAUUGUGCGUGAAAUUCUUAGAACCAUGCCGCACGUGUGAGAGGUCUUUUGGACGCACGAAGAGACGCGAAGAUUCCUUCUGUUUUAAGGAGUCUUAGGCGACACUAUUAUCUGAUAUUUUUCUUGAUAAAGAUCAGAUUUAAAUGCUGAUUCCGUGUGAUAAGUAUAGAAAAUUAUCAGAUGAUGGAGCGUUGCUUUUGACGUUGUUUUACUGGGCGUGCGUGCGCGCGAUCGAAAAAGGACUCGCGCGUCUCUCCGCGAUGAAGAGUCCUGUUGUUUAAAUUCCUAUCCAAAUGGGGCAUCCCUUGCUGAUAGCCUUCUCAUUUGAAUCAAGGAAUACAUGGCAAAGUUUCACACUAAUCUGGAAUCAGAAGAGACACCAAUUGCAUCUCUUUCUGGGCAUGCGCACGUGAGAGAGAAGUACUCGAUGUAUCACAUCCCGAUGAGUCUUUCUGUUUGAAGACUCUCAGAUAAGUGAUACGAGGACCUGAUAUGGCUUUCCAGAUAAGCCGUGUCUUCUCUGUUGGCGCGCCCCAUCUGGUGCUAUAAAUAGGGGACGGCAGAUGAAUUGAUCAUUCAAUUCUUACAUCCCUUAUCCACUCCCUCUCUCCUUCUCUUACAACUCUAAGAUUUAAGACAAAGGCUUGUUAUUUUAAGACAAGCCUAUUCCUAAUAGCUCUAAGGAUUUAAGAGGUCCAGAAGAAGGUGGUCAAGACCAGUGGGUGGUUCUGAGAGGUUCAAACUCAAAUUUGAACGAAGGUCUGAUCGACUGGUGGCUAGUCAAGUUCUAGAGGCCAGAACUCUUGAAGCAAGGUCAAGAAGGAGCGCUGUCUUUGGUCCGAUUUCCGUAUGGAUCACCAUUGGAGAGCGGACACUUAGAUGCCUCGUGAAAAUUGAAAUUAGCGCUACAAGUAUUCUUCUUAUCCAAGUUUAAUUUAAUUGUACUUUGAUUGUUAUGGUCAAGGAUUUUUGGACAUUAGGGUUUUCAGUACGUCAAGUGUUUUGAAUGAAAAUUUUAAACACCUAGUCCUUCCGCUGCGCCAUCAGAACCCAACACACACAAGUCAAAUAAUGCAAAAUUAGAAAUCUAAUG